rnacentral:rRNA from 1 species
GUUAGGACGGUCUGGAUCAUGCGAGCACAUGCAGCAGCUACGCUCUGCGCGUGAUGACUGAGUGGCGGACGGGUGAGUAAUGUCUGGGAAACUGCCUGAUGGAGGGGGAUAACUACUGGAAACGGUAGCUAAUACCGCAUAACGUCGCAAGACCAAAGAGGGGGACCUUCGGGCCUCUUGCCAUCAGAUGUGCCCAGAUGGGAUUAGCUAGUAGGUGGGGUAACGGCUCACCUAGGCGACGAUCCCUAGCUGGUCUGAGAGGAUGACCAGCCACACUGGAACUGAGACACGGUCCAGACUCCUACGGGAGGCAGCAGUGGGGAAUAUUGCACAAUGGGCGCAAGCCUGAUGCAGCCAUGCCGCGUGUAUGAAGAAGGCCUUCGGGUUGUAAAGUACUUUCAGCGGGGAGGAAGGCGAUGAGGUUAAUAACCUCGUCGAUUGACGUUACCCGCAGAAGAAGCACCGGCUAACUCCGUGCCAGCAGCCGCGGUAAUACGGAGGGUGCAAGCGUUAAUCGGAAUUACUGGGCGUAAAGCGCACGCAGGCGGUCUGUCAAGUCGGAUGUGAAAUCCCCGGGCUCAACCUGGGAACUGCAUUCGAAACUGGCAGGCUAGAGUCUUGUAGAGGGGGGUAGAAUUCCAGGUGUAGCGGUGAAAUGCGUACAGAUCUGGAGGAAUACCGGUGG